rnacentral:lncRNA from 1 species
AAGAGAAGUGAUUUUAUAGUAAAUUAUGAGAAAUAGUAAGGGUUCACAGCUAACCUGUCACAACCAUCACUGGAGAGCAGAGAAUUACAAGAGACAUUGUUGUGUUGUGUGUGAGUGAAAGCCAUUCAUUUCCAUAAAUUGGAUGGAAUUAUCAUUCUAUCUCAGUCAACAGUUGAUGAUAAGGAAAACUUCUGAGAAAUGCACCGUAGAGAACUGUAUACGUGCAUAUGUGGACUUUGUGGUUUUAUGGACAUAUUAGAAAGUUUGGGUUUUCUUGAUUAUAACAGGAACUCUGAAUGAACUAUAAGUUGUGGUGUAAGAAUACUGGAAAGAAUUAGUAAUAUUAUUGGAGUAUAAUAAAGUAAUAUUUAAAACAGAA